rnacentral:rRNA from 1 species
GACGAACGCUGGCGGCGUGCUUAACACAUGCAAGUCGAACGGAAAGGUCCUGCUUUUGUGGGGUGCUCGAGUGGCGAACGGGUGAGUAACACGUGAGUAACCUGCCCUUGUCUUUGGGAUAACUUCAGGAAACUGGGGCUAAUACCGGAUAGGAGCUCUUGCUGCAUGGUGGGGGUUGGAAAGUUUCGGCGGUUGGGGAUGGACUCGCGGCUUAUCAGCUUGUUGGUGGGGUAGUGGCUUACCAAGGCUUUGACGGGUAGCCGGCCUGAGAGGGUGACCGGCCACAUUGGGACUGAGAUACGGCCCAGACUCCUACGGGAGGCAGCAGUGGGGAAUAUUGCACAAUGGGCGGAAGCCUGAUGCAGCAACGCCGCGUGCGGGAUGACGGCCUUCGGGUUGUAAACCGCUUUCGCCUGUGACGAAGCGUGAGUGACGGUAAUGGGUAAAGAAGCACCGGCUAACUACGUG